CCUACGGGAGGCAGCAGUGAGGAAUAUUGGUCAAUGGGCGCGAGCCUGAACCAGCCAAGUCGCGUGAGGGAUGAAGGUUCUAUGGAUCGUAAACCUCUUUUAUAAGGGAAUAAGGUGUGGGACGUGUCCUAUUUUGUCUGUACCUUAUGAAUAAGGAUCGGCUAACUCCGUGCCAGCAGCCGCGGUAAUACGGAGGAUCCGAGCGUUAUCCGGAUUUCUUGGGUUUAAAGGGUGCGUAGGCGGCCUUUUAAGUCAGCGGUGAAAGUUUGGGGCUCAACCAUAGAAUUGCCGUGUAAACUGGGGGGCUUGAGUAGGUUUGAGGCAGGCGGAAUGCGUGGUGUAGCGGUGAAAUGCUUAGAUAUCACGCAGAACCCCGAUUGCGAAGGCAGCCUGCCAAGCCAUGACUGACGCGGAUGCACGAAAGCGUGGGGAUCAAACAGGAUUAGAUACCCGUGUAGUC
rnacentral:rRNA from 1 species